rnacentral:rRNA from 1 species
UACGUAGGGUGCAAGCGUUGUUCGGAAUCAUUGGGCGUAAAGCGCGUGUAGGCGGUUAGGUAAGUCGGGUGUGAAAUCCCUGGGCUCAACCGAGGAAGUGCAUCCGAAACUGCUUAGCUAGAGGACGGUAGAGGAAGGUGGAAUUCCUAGUGUAGAGGUGAAAUUCGUAGAUAUUAGGAGGAAUACCGGUGGCGAAGGCGGCCUUCUGGGCCGAUCCUGACGCUGAGGAGCGAAAGCCAGGGGAGCAAACGGG